rnacentral:piRNA from 1 species
UGUGAUUUCUGAGUCUCAAAUCCCAAAGGGC